UUAGAGUUUGAUCCUGGCUCAGAACGAACGCUGGCGGCAGGCUUAACACAUGCAAGUCGAACGAUGUAGCAAUACAUAGUGGCGCACGGGUGCGUAACACGUGGGAACUUACCUUGUAGUAUGGAAUAACGUCGGGAAACUGACGCUAAUACCAUAUACGCCCUUCGGGGGAAUGAUUUAUCGCUAUAAGAUAGGCCCGCGCAAGAUUAGCUUGUUGGUGAGGUAACGGCUCACCAAGGCUACGAUCUUUAGCUGGUCUGAGAGGACGACCAGCCACACUGGAACUGAGACACGGUCCAGACUCCUACGGGAGGCAGCAGUGGGGAAUAUUGGACAAUGGGCGAAAGCCUGAUCCAGCCAUGCCGCGUGAGUGAUGAAGGCCUUAGGGUUGUAAAGCUCUUUUCUCGAUGACGAUGAUGACGGUAAUUGAGGAAUAAGCCCCGGCUAACUUCGUGCCAGCAGCCGCGGUAAUACGAAGGGGGCUAGCGUUGUUCGGAAUCACUGGGCGUAAAGCGGGUGCAGGCGGCUUGAAUAGUUAGAAGUGAAAUGCUUGGGCUCAACCUAAGAACUGCUUUUAAUACUGGCAAGCUAGAGUGCGGGAGAGGAGUAUGGAAUACCUAGUGUAGAGGUGAAAUUCGUAGAUAUUAGGUGGAAUACCAGUGGCGAAGGCGAUACUCUGGAACGCAACUGACGCUCAUGCCCGAAAGUGUGGGGAUCAAACAGGAUUAGAUACCCUGGUAGUCCACACCGUAAACGAUGUGUACUAGAUGUCGGUAGGCUUGCCUAUCGGUAUCGCAGCUAACGCAAUAAGUACACCGCCUGGGAAAUACGGUCGCAAGAUUAAAACUCAAAGGAAUUGACGGGGGCCCGCACAAGCGGUGGAGCAUGUGGUUUAAUUCGAAGCAACGCGCAGAACCUUACCAGAUCUUGACAUGGGAGUCGCGGGCAUCAGAGAUGAAGCCCUUCAGUUCGGCUGGACUCCGCACAGGUGCUGCAUGGCUGUCGUCAGCUCGUGUCGUGAGAUGUUGGGUUAAGUCCCGCAACGAGCGCAACCCUUACCUUUCGUUGCCAUCAGGUUAUGCUGGGCACUCAAGAGGAACUGCCAGUGACAAGCUGGAGGAAGGCGGGGAUGACGUCAAGUCCUCAUGGCCCUUACGGUCUGGGCUACACACGUGCUACAAUGGCGGUUACAAUGGGAUGCUUGCCCGCGAGGGUUGGCUAAUCCGUAAAAAGCCGUCUCAGUUCAGAUUGUACUCUGCAACUCGAGUACAUGAAGUUGGAAUCGCUAGUAAUCGUGGAUCAGCAUGCCACGGCGAAUACGUUCCCGGGCCUUGUACACACCGCCCGUCACACCAUGGGGGAUUACUUUACCCGAAGAUGGUACGCUAACCGCAAGGAGGCAGCCAGCCACGGUAGGGUCAUUGACUGGGGUGAAGUCGUAACAAGGUAACC
rnacentral:rRNA from 1 species